rnacentral:rRNA from 1 species
AUUGAACGCUGGCGGCAGGCUUAACACAUGCAAGUCGAGCGAGCGGCGGAGGGGUGAGUAAUGUAUUGGGAUCUGCCUGAUAGAGGGGGAUAAAUAAUGGAAACUGUGGCUUAUACCGCAUACUAUAGGAUGCCCCCAUCUGGGAUUAACUAGUUGGCGGGGUAAAGGCUCAUCUGGGCGACGAGCUCUAGCUGGUCUGAGAGGAUGACCAGCCACACUGGGACUGAGACAGGGCCCAGACGCAGACGGGAGGCAGCAGUGGGGAAUAUUGCGCCAUGGGCGCGAGCCUGAUGCAGCCGUGCCGCGUGUAUGAAGAAGGCCUUAGGGUUGUAAAGUACUUUCAGCGGGGAGGCGGUACCCGCAGAAGAAGCACCGGCUAACUCCGUGCCAGCAGCCGCGGUAAUUC